rnacentral:ncRNA from 1 species
UGAUAAAUUUUCUUACAUAAAAGCCCACCAUGGGUGCUGACACAAUAUGAUUUCUGCCUAGUACAAAGUGAAGAAAUUCAAUGGAACAUGAAUAAAUGGCAGGACUAACUAUGACUCUUAAGGUAAUCAGUCAAAUGUGUUAUCAUCUAAUUAGUGAUAUUCAUGAUUGAAUGAA